AAGUCGUAACAAGGUUUCCGUAGGUGAACCUGCGGAAGGAUCAUUAACGAGUUGAACGGGGUUGUAGCUGGCCUUCACGGGCAUGUGCACACCUCACUCAUCCACUCUACACCUGUGCACUUACUGUGGGUUUCGAGAGGCCGCGCUUGCGUGGUUGAUCGGGCUCACGUCUAUUACAAACUCUUCAGUAUCAGAAUGUGUAUCGCGAUGUAACGCAUAUAUAUACAACUUUCAGCAACGGAUCUCUUGGCUCUC
rnacentral:misc_RNA from 1 species